GCGGCCCCAGCGGAGACUAGGCCAGAAGAACUGAGCAUUUUCGAAGUUCCCUAGGAGAGAUGGAUGCCGCGUCCCUUUCGCAGUGACGAGACUUCCCUGCCGUGUUUGUGAUCCUCUCCUUCCCACCAACUUGCCAGCUUCAGGAGCCUCCCUGCGUCCCAGAGACUCCCUCUCCCAGGCAGGCUCCAUCGUGGAGUUGCUAAGUCCGUGCCCUUUUAGUUAGUUCUCCAGUCUAGUGUGGUCCCCAUUCGCCUUUCCUUCCCACCCUAGCCCCAAACCCUGCGCUCCCAAAUCUUCCUUCUUUUGCUUCUCGCCCACCUCUCCCCGCACCCAGCAUGCAGCUCUGCCUCCGCCGCCUCGAUGCGCGUCCCCGCGCGUACUGCGGAGGGCGCCCUAAGCGUCGCUCGAAGUACACUCACUUUCCAAAAAACAAGUCCUUUCGUUCUGUGCGCAGCUAAAAGGGGCGCCCUGCGUCGUUCCCGCCCCAGCCUAGCCCCAGGACUUUGGAUAGGGGUGAGAAGGGAAGAGGGUUUUUACUGUGUGGGAUGCCCCUUGCUCUGAUCGGAAGGGAAGCCCCUCUCCCACAUUUGCCUGGCACCCCCGCACCCAGUUCCCCAGCGCACUGAGAGGAGCCUCUCCAGUUCUCUUGUUUAUGCAAAUGCCGAGCGUCUGCGAGGCUCGGUGGGAGGAGUGUUCGCGGCACCGCCGCUGCUGGCACCGCCUCCCUCCGGGUUCCUGGGGCUGUGGCUGGAAGGUUUUUAAUCUCUUGUGUGUGCAUGUGACCUUGCUGGGCUGGAAUGUGAACAAUAAAGAGGAAUGUCCAAGUGU